UACGUAGGCAGCGAGCGUUGUUCGGAGUUACUGGGCGUAAAGGGCGCGUAGGCGGCGCGACAAGUCACUUGUGAAAUCUCCGGGCUUAACUCGGAGCGGCCAAGUGAUACUGUCGUGCUAGAGUGCGGAAGGGGCAACUGGAAUUCUCGGUGUAGCGGUGAAAUGCGUAGAUAUCGAGAGGAACACCUGCGGCGAAGGCGGGUUGCUGGGCCGACACUGACGCUGAAGCGCGAAAGCCAGGGGAGCGAACGGG
rnacentral:rRNA from 1 species